rnacentral:snRNA from 1 species
AUCGCUUCUCCGCCUUUUGGCUAAGAUCACGUGUAGUAUCUGUUCUUAUCAGUUUAAAUAUAUUGAAUGCACAUAUUCUAGCAUAUAAUUACACUUGAUUAGAAUGAAUCUCAU